AGCGAACGCUGGCGGCAGGCCUAACACAUGCAAGUCGAACGAAGUCUUCGGACUUAGUGGCGGACGGGUGAGUAACACGUGGGAACGUGCCUUUAGGUUCGGAAUAACUCAGGGAAACUUGUGCUAAUACCGAAUGUGCCCUUCGGGGGAAAGAUUUAUCGCCUUUAGAGCGGCCCGCGUCUGAUUAGCUAGUUGGUGAGGUAAAGGCUCACCAAGGCGACGAUCAGUAGCUGGUCUGAGAGGAUGAUCAGCCACAUUGGGACUGAGACACGGCCCAAACUCCUACGGGAGGCAGCAGUGGGGAAUCUUGCGCAAUGGGCGAAAGCCUGACGCAGCCAUGCCGCGUGAAUGAUGAAGGUCUUAGGAUUGUAAAAUCCUUUCACCAGUGAAGAUAAUGACUGUAGCCGGAGAAGAAGCCCCGGCUAACUUCGUGCCAGCCGCCGCUGUAACAC
rnacentral:rRNA from 1 species